CCUACGGGUGGCAGCAGUGAGGAAUAUUGGUCAAUGGACGAGAGUCUGAACCAGCCAAGUAGCGUGAAGGAUGACUGCCUUAUGGGUUGUAAACUUCUUUUAUAUGGGAAUAAAAUGUUCCACGUGUGGGCUUUUGUAUGUACCAUAUGAAUAAGGAUCGGCUAACUCCGUGCCAGCAGCAGCGGUAAUACGGAGGAUCCGAGCGUUAUCCGGUUUUAUUGGGUUUAAAGGGAGCGUAGGUGGAUUGUUAAGUCAGUUGUGAAAGUUUGCGGCUCAACCGUAAAAUUGCAGUUGAAACUGGCAGUCUUGAGUACAGUAGAGGUGGGCGGAAUUCGUGGUGUAGCGGUGAAAUGCUUAGAUAUCACGAAGAACUCCGAUUGCGAAGGCAGCUCACUGGACUGCAACUGACACUGAGGCUCGAAAGUGUGGGUAUCAAACAGGAUUAGAUACCCCUGUAGUC
rnacentral:rRNA from 1 species